CCUACGGGAGGCAGCAGUGGGGAAUAUUGGACAAUGGGGGGAACCCUGAUCCAGCCAUGCCGCGUGUGUGAAGAAGGCCCUCGGGUUGUAAAGCACUUUCAGUGAGGAAGAACGCCUGGUGGUUAAUACCCAUCAGGAAAGACAUCACUCACAGAAGAAGCACCGGCUAACUCCGUGCCAGCAGCCGCGGUAAUACGGAGGGUGCGAGCGUUAAUCGGAAUUACUGGGCGUAAAGCGCGCGUAGGUGGCUUGAUAAGCCGGUUGUGAAAGCCCCGGGCUCAACCUGGGAACGGCAUCCGGAACUGUCAAGCUAGAGUGCAGGAGAGGAAGGUAGAAUUCCCGGUGUAGCGGCGAAAUGCGUAGAGAUCGGGAGGAAUACCAGUGGCGAAGGCGGCCUUCUGGACUGACACUGACACUGAGGUGCGAAAGCGUGGGUAGCAAACAGGAUUAGAUACCCUAGUAGUC
rnacentral:rRNA from 1 species